CCUACGGGUGGCAGCAGUGAGGAAUAUUGGUCAAUGGGCGGGAGCCUGAACCAGCCAAGCCGCGUGAGGGAAGAAGGUACAGCGUAUCGUAAACCUCUUUUGUCAGGGAACAAAGGCGGGGACUAGUCCCCGGAUGAGGGUACCUGAAGAAAAAGCAUCGGCUAACUCCGUGCCAGCAGCCGCGGUAAUACGGAGGAUGCGAGCGUUAUCCGGAUUUAUUGGGUUUAAAGGGUGCGCAGGCGGUCUGUUAAGUCAGCGGUCAAAGCCCGGGGCUCAACCCCGGCCCGCCGUUGAAACUGGCAGUCUCGAGUUGGAGAGAAGUAUGCGGAAUGCGCGGUGUAGCGGUGAAAUGCAUAGAUAUCGCGCAGAACUCCGAUUGCGAAGGCAGCAUGCCGGCUCCACACUGACGCUGAGGCACGAAAGCGUGGGUAUCGAACAGGAUUAGAUACCCUAGUAGUC
rnacentral:rRNA from 1 species